AGGAGUUUAGGUUAAAAUAGACCAAGAGCCUUCAAAGCUCUAAGCAAGUAUUACUUACUUAACUCCUG
rnacentral:tRNA from 1 species